rnacentral:rRNA from 1 species
GACGAACGCUGGCGGCGUGCCUAAUACAUGCAAGUCGAGCGAAGUUUUUCUGGUGCUUGCACUAGAAAAACUUAGCGGCGAACGGGUGAGUAACACGUAAAGAACCUGCCUCAUAGACUGGGACAACUAUUGGAAACGAUAGCUAAUACCGGAUAACAGCAUUAACUGCAUGGUUGAUGUUUAAAAGUUGGUUUUGCUAACACUAUGAGAUGGCUUUGCGGUGCAUUAGCUAGUUGGUGGGGUAAAGGCCUACCAAGGCGACGAUGCAUAGGUGACCGGAGAGGGUGAUCGGCCACACUGGGACUGAGACACGGCCCAGACUCCUACGGGAGGCAGCAGUAGGGAAUCUUCCGCAAUAGGCGAAAGCCUGACGGAGCAACGCCGCGUGAGUGAAGAAGGAUUUCGGUUCGUAAAGCUCUGUUGUUAGGGAAGAAUGAUUGUGUAGUAACUAUACACAGUAGAGACGGUACCUAACCAGAAAGCCACGGCUAACUACGUG